rnacentral:rRNA from 1 species
UACGUAGGUGGCAAGCGUUGUCCGGAUUUAUUGGGUUUAAAGGGCGCGUAGGCGGCUUUGUAAGUCAGUGGUGAAAUAUGGCAGCUCAACUGUCAAGGUGCCAUUGAUACUGCAGAGCUUGAGUACAGAUGAGGUAGGCGGAAUUGACGGUGUAGCGGUGAAAUGCUUAGAUAACGUCAAGAACACCUAUAGCGAAGGCAGCUUACUAGGCUGUAACUGACGCUGAGGCACGAAAGUGUGGGGAUCAAACAGG